rnacentral:rRNA from 1 species
UGGGGAAUAUUGCGCAAUGGGGGGAACCCUGACGCAGCAACGCCGCGUGAGUGAGGAAGGCCUUCGGGUUGUAAAGCUCUUUCGGCUGGGAAGAAGGGAAUCAGUUUUAAUAAAGCUGAUUUUUGAUGGUACCAGAAGAAGAAGCACCGGCUAACUUCGUGCCAGCAGCCGCGGUAAUACGAAGGGUGCAAGCGUUAUUCGGAAUUAUUGGGCGUAAAGGGUUCGUAGGCGGGAGAGCAAGUCAAGUGUGAAAUAUCCAGACUAAACCUGGAAAGUGCAUUUGAAACUGCUUGUCUUGAGUGUUAGAGAGGGUGGUGGAAUUGCUGGUGUAGGAGUGACAUCCGUAGAGAUCAGCAGGAACAUCGGAGGCGAAGGCGGCCACCUGGCUAAAUACUGACGCUGAGGAACGAAAGCAUGGGGAGCAAACAGG